rnacentral:rRNA from 1 species
AGAGUUUGAUCAUGGCUCAGGACGAACGCUGGCGGCGUGCUUAACACAUGCAAGUCGAACGGAAAGGCCCCUUCGGGGGUACUCGAGUGGCGAACGGGUGAGUAACACGUGGGUGAUCUGCCCUGCACUUUGGGAUAAGCCUGGGAAACUGGGUCUAAUACCGAAUAGGACCGCAUGCUUCAUGGUGUGUGGUGGAAAGCUUUUGCGGUGUGGGAUGGGCCCGCGGCCUAUCAGCUUGUUGGUGGGGUAAUGGCCUACCAAGGCGACGACGGGUAGCCGGCCUGAGAGGGUGUCCGGCCACACUGGGACUGAGAUACGGCCCAGACUCCUACGGGAGGCAGCAGUGGGAAUAUUGCACAAUGGGCGCAAGCCUGAUGCAGCGACGCCGCGUGGGGGAUGACGGCCUUCGGGUUGUAAACCUCUUUCAGUAUCGGCGAAGCUCCAGGAUUUUUCUUGGGGUGACGGUAGGUACAGAAGAAGCACCGGCCAACUACGUGCCAGCAGCCGCGGUAAUACGUAGGGUGCGAGCGUCGUCCGGGAUUACUGGGCGUAAAGAGCUCGUAGGUGGGUUGUCACGUUGUCUGUGAAAACUCACAGCUUAACUGUGGGCGUGCGGGCGAUACGGGCAGACUGGAGUACUGUAGGGGAGACUGGAAUUCCUGGUGUAGCGGUGGAAUGCGCAGAUAUCAGGGGGAACACCGGUGGCGAAGGCGGGUCUCCGGGCAGUAACUGACGCUGAGGAGCGAAGGCGUGGGGAGCGAACAGGAUUAGAUACCCUGGUAGUCCAA